UACGGGGGGGCGAGCGUUGUCCGAAGUUACUGGGCGUAAAGCGCGUGUAGGCGGGUUGUUAAGUCCGCUGUGAAAGCCCGGUGCUCAACGCCGGAGGGUCGGUGGAUACUGGCAGUCUUGAAGUGGCUAGGGGGAAAUGGAAUUACCGGUGUAGCGGUGAAAUGCGUAGAUAUCGGUAGGAACACCAGUGGCGAAGGCGGUUUCCUGGAGCUAACUUGACGCUGAGACGCGAAAGCUGGGGGAGCAAACGGG
rnacentral:rRNA from 1 species